rnacentral:rRNA from 1 species
GAACCUGGUUGAUCCUGCCAGUUAGUCAUAUGCUUGUCUCAAAGACUAAGCCAUGCAUGUCUAAGUAUAAAUGUUAUACAGUGAAACUGCGAAUGGCUCAUUAAAACAGUUAUAGUUUAUUUGAUAAUCGAAUUUACAUGGAUAACCGUGGUAAUUCUAGAGCUAAUACAUGCUGGUUAGCCUGACUUUUGAG